UACGUAGGUGGCGAGCGUUGUCCGGAAUGACUGGGCGUAAAGGGUGCGUAGGCGGCCGAUCAAGUUAGUAGUGAAAUACCCGGGCUCAACUUGGGUGCUACUACUAAGACUGAUUGGCUUGAGUGUGGGAGAGGUAAGUGGAAUUCCUAGUGUAGCGGUGGAAUGCGUAGAUAUUAGGAGGAACACUGGCGGCGAAGGCGGCUUACUGGACCACAACUGACGCUGAGGCACGAAAGCGUGGGGAGCAAACAGGAUUAGAUACC
rnacentral:rRNA from 1 species